ACCCUCUCAGAGUUGCACCUGGAGAGUUUCUAGUACUAUACCAGUCUCAACUACAGGAGGGAGAGGCAAGCAGAGGCCUACCUAUUCCACUCUUAGUUUGGGCAGUGGCUAGCCAGUGGAAGGCAAUCUGCUACAAGU